rnacentral:rRNA from 1 species
AAAGAUCGAAUGAGGAGAUUCAUCGUCAGCGAUACUGGCUACACGUUGAUUCGUGAUGUUGUAGUAACCUUUUUGGUUCUCUAUGAUACGCGAUCGGCGAGUUGAGUCCGGUGUCGUCGGCGUGCACUUUUCCUCUAGUAGAACGUCGCGAUCCGUUGGGUGCCGAUUUAAAAACCUUACGAGGAAAGUCUGACGCGUCGUUUCGGCGUUCGCGUCAAGCCUCUGGUAUAUCGAUCGGCUGCUCGGCGGUACUCGCAUGGUAUCGGGCCGCAAAAUUUGAAUUGCGUCGGGCUCGUCGCAGAGCUAUUUCAGUGUUAAAAAUCGGUGGUAACGGACCCAGUGCCGUCCCCGUACCUGAUUUGCUGUUAGCUGACGAUGUCCUCCGACUGGCCAUUGAACUGUUUUAAACGAUACCGAUCGGCGACGCUAUUGCUUUAGGUAAUCUCAGGACCCGUCUUGAAACACGGACCAAGGAGUCUAACAUGUACGCGAGUCAUUGGGACAAUAAUAAAACCUAAAGGCGAAAUGAAAGUAAGAAGGUAUGGCCUUAGGGCCAACCGAGGGAGGAUGGGCCGCGUUACGAUGCGGCCUCGCACUCCUGGGGCGUCUCGUUCUCAUUGCGAGAAGAGGCGCACCUAGAGCGUACACGUUGGGACCCGAAAGUGG